rnacentral:rRNA from 1 species
UACGUAGGGUGCAAGCGUUGUCCGGAAUUAUUGGGCGUAAAGAGCUUGUAGGCGGUUUGUCGCGUCUGCUGUGAAAUUUCGGGGCUCAACCCCGAACUUGCAGUGGGUACGGGCAGACUAGAGUGUGGUAGGGGAGACUGGAAUUCCUGGUGUAGCGGUGAAAUGCGCAGAUAUCAGGAGGAACACCGGUGGCGAAGGCGGUGCUCUGGGCCGAAACUGACGCUGAGGAGCGAAAGCGUGGGUAGCAAACAGG